CAAGAGGAUCGGCGUCGGCGGCUGCGGUUGCGUAUCCUCCGGAGACGAGAAGGAGCGGAUCAGGACCUCGUUUGGGAGAGGAGGAGCGUUGAUAUGUUUUUUUUAUUUGAGUGAUUUUUUGUCGAUAGAUAGAUUAGAACCAGUGAUACACGGGUGUUGGGAGGUGCCAAGUGCUCGGAGUACAGAUUCCGUUUCUAGGGGGAGACGCUGACGGAGACGAGUCACGACAGGAGUCAAUCAGAUAGCUCAGAGCGAUUUAAUCUAACGGCGCAGGAGGCGACGCCCAGCGCUGGCCUUUAUUAAGCGGCGGAGACGGGCUACCGGCUGCAUCCUGAGCUAACCCUAAUACCUCCUUCCCCUCAUCGCCGCCGCCGCCGCCGCCACCGCCACCGCUGCGAUGUCUUCUGAGCCUCUACCCGCCUCCACAGAGGCUCUCGAGGCAGAUCUCUCCGCCGCUACGAUCAGCAAGAAGCAGCUUAACAAGGAGGCCCGGAAGGCCGCAAAGGCAGCGAAGGCAGAAAACGCAGGGAAGGCCGAAAAGUCUCAGGCGGAAGAAGAAGACGACCCCUUUGCGGUCAACUACGGUGACGUUCCACUCGAGGAGAUCCAGUCCAAGGUCAUCUCCGGCCGGUCCUGGACGGACAUCGGCGACCUCGAUGAGGCCGCCGUGGGCCGCUCCGUCCUGAUCCGCGGAUAUGCGGAGAAGUUCCGCCCGGUCUGCAAGAAGAUCGCUUUCGUCGUGCUUCGCCAGAGCAUGACCACCGUGCAGUGUGUGCUCGUCGCUAGCGCCGACACCGGCGUCAGCACGCAGAUGGUGCGCUUUGCCACCUCCCUCAGCAAGGAGAGCAUCGUUGACGUCGAGGGCGUCGUCUCCCUACCCAAGGACCCCCUCAAGGCUACAACGCAGCAGGUGGAGAUUCAGGUCAGGAAGGUCUACUGCAUUAGCAGGGCAAUCCCUACACUUCCAAUCAACCUCGAGGAUGCAGCCCGUAGUGAAGCAGAAUUUGACCUGGCUGAGCGGACAGGAGAGAAGCUGGCGCGUGUUCACCAGGAGUCACGGUUGAACUAUCGAGUUAUCGAUCUGCGGACACCCACAAGUCAAUCUGUCUUCCGUAUCAAAUUCGAAGUUGAAAAUGCAUUCAGACAAUAUUUGUCCUCAAAGGGCUUUAUUGGGAUCCACACUCCCAGGUUGAUUUCUGGAUCAAGUGAAGGUGGUGCAGCCGUAUUCAAGCUACAGUACUAUGGCCAGGAUGCUUGUUUAGCUCAAUCUCCUCAGUUAUACAAGCAGAUGAGUCUCUGUGGUGGGUUCGGUCGUGUGUUUGAGGUUGGUCCCAUAUUUUGAGCAGAGAAUUCUAACACCCACAGGCAUCUGUCCGAGUUUAUUGGGUUGGAUGCAGAAAUGGAGAUUAAGGAGCACUACUUUGAGGUUUGUGAUAUUGUUGAUGGCUUAUUCCUAGAAAUAUUCAAACACUUGAAGGAAAAUUGUAAGCAUACACUUGAGGCAGUAAAUAAGCAGUAUCCAUUUGAACCACUGCAGUACCUAGAGAAAACCUUGAAGCUAACGUACGAGGAAGGGAUUCAAAUGCUGAAGGAAUCUGGAACUGAAAUUGAGCCUAUGGGUGACCUCAACACCGAAGCUGAGAAAAAACUUGGUCUCCUUGUUAAGGAGAAGUAUGGGACAGAAUUUUUCAUUCUCUAUCGGUAUCCUUUGGCUGUGCGCCCUUUCUACACCAUGCCUUGCUAUGAUGACCCUGCUUACAGCAACUCUUUUGAUGUCUUCAUGCGAGGCGAGGAAAUUAUUUCUGGAGCUCAAAGAGUGCACACGCCUGAGUUGCUGAGGAAACGUGCAAUCGAGUGUGGAAUUGAUGCGAGUACUAUAUCAUCAUACAUUGAAUCAUUCAGUUAUGGCGCCCCUCCUCACGGUGGUUUCGGUGUGGGGCUGGAGAGAGUGGUGAUGCUUUUCUGCGGCCUCAACAAUGUCAGGAAGACAUCUUUUUUCCCUCGUGACCCACAGAGGCUCACGCCAUAAAGUUUCUUUUGCUGUUUUCUGGGACAGAGAGCUUGUGUGUCAGGCCCUGAUAUAUAUCUGUCGUAGUUCAGUAAGCUACUAGUAAUGAUUCAGUUAUCCAACGGCUGGGAUCAAUCUGAGGCGAUAGACUCAUCUCGACCGUUGAGCGUUAACAGUAGUAAAUAGAGAGUUACUGUUUUUCCCGUUCGGGUUAAAACCCUCCCCUAUAACUAGCCGGGUUGUGGCUGGAUGGAAUAUGCUUUUCAGAUGAAUUCUCUCUAUCGCCGUCAUGGCUAAUAUACAGGAACCCUAGCGCUUCUCUCUC